rnacentral:rRNA from 1 species
GAUUAACGCUGGCGGCGUGCAUAACACAUGCAAGUCGAACGAUGAAACUUAAAUGAUUUCUUCGGAAUGAACUUAAGUGGAUUAGUGGCGGACGGGUGAGUAACGCGUGAGUAACCUGCCUUACACAAGGGGAUAGCCGUUGGAAACGACGAAUAAUACCCUAUGAUGUUUCUAUCUCGCAUGAGAUAUUAACCAAAGUGUUAGCGGUGUAAGAUGGACUUGCGUCUGAUUAGCUAGUUGGUGAGAAAAAAGCCCACCAAGGCAACGAUCAGUAGCCGGCUUGAGAGAGUGUACGGACACAUUGGGACUGAGACACGGCCCAGACUCCUACGGGAGGCAGCAGUGGGGAAUUUUGCACAAUGGGGGAAACCCUGAUGCAGCGACGCCGCGUGAUUUAGAAGGCCUUCGGGUUGUAAAAAUCUUUUGUAUAGGAAGAAAAUGACAGUACUAUACGAAUAAGGUCCGGCUAAUUACGUG